UUCUCGGUAGUUUAUAAAGAAUUCAAGACUUUUAAUCUUGCGGUACAGGUAGUUGUUCGGGAAA
rnacentral:tRNA from 1 species